rnacentral:rRNA from 1 species
UCAGACGAUGCGUCAUGCAUAUCAAUAAGCGGAGGAAAAGAAACUAACAAGGAUUCCCCUAGUAACGGCGAGUGAAGCGGGAAGAGCUCAAAUUUGAAAUCUUAAAGGGUUUCCCUUUACGAAUUGUAGUUUAAGGAAGUGUUUUCUGUUGAGGUUUUGGUAAAAGUUCUUUGGAAUAGGACAUCAUAGAGGGUGAGAAUCCCGUAUUUGACCUUUACUUUCAACUUUGUGAUACACUUUCAAAGAGUCGGAUUGUUUGGGAAUGCAGUCCAAAAUGGGUGGUAAAUUUCAUCUAAAGCUAAAUAUUGGCGAGAGACCGAUAGCGAACAAGUACCGUGAGGGAAAGAUGAAAAGAACUUUGAAAAGAGAGUUAAACAGUACGUGAAAUUGUCAAAAGGGAAGCGUUUGACACCAGUGUUGUUUUUCUGAAAAUCAAUUAAAGAACUGUUUAUGCUAAGCUGUUUAGACUUUAUCAGCUAUCUGUUUAGUUUUGAGCUUUUCUUUAAUGCACUUUUCAGUUAACAAGUCAACAUCAAUUUCUUUUGCUGUAAAAAAAGCUUGAGGAAGGUGGCUUGAGAUUCGUCUUAAGUGUUUAUAGCCUCUUGCCUAUGCAGUCGGAGAGAUUGAGGUCUGCAGCGUAGAUCCUUCGGGGCUAAAUGCAUUUGUGCUAAGUUAUAGCAUUUUAUAGACAACUUGUUGACUAUGAUUUGUCUUGUAGCUUACUCGCUUAUGUUAUUUUACCUACGCUUAGGAUGUUGACACACGCGCGUGCUC